rnacentral:rRNA from 1 species
GACGAACGCUGGCGGCAUGCCUAAUACAUGCAAGUCGAACGAGCUUCCGUUGAAUGACGUGCUUGCACUGAUUUCAACAAUGAAGCGAGUGGCGAACUGGUGAGUAACACGUGGGAAAUCUGCCCAGAAGCAGGGGAUAACACUUGGAAACAGGUGCUAAUACCGUAUAACAACAAAAUCCGCAUGGAUUUUGUUUGAAAGAUGGCUUCGGCUAUCACUUUUGGAUGGUCCCGCGGCGUAUUAGCUAGAUGGUGGGGUAACGGCUCACCA